ACCCCAGGUCAGGCGGGACUACCCGC
rnacentral:rRNA from 1 species